UCGUAGCUCAAUGGUAGAGCGUCUGACCGGUGUGCAGAAGGUCAUAGGUUCGACUCCUGUUGGGAGAA